rnacentral:rRNA from 1 species
CCUACGGGGGGCUGCAGUCGAGAAUCUUCGGCAAUGAGCGCAAGCUUGACCGAGCGACGCCGCGUGUGGGAUGAAGGCCCUCGGGUUGUAAACCACUGUCGUAGGGGAGGAAGGCUCCGUGAAGAGCGGAGUUUGACCUAUCCUAGGAGGAAGUACGGGCUAAGUUCGUGCCAGCAGCCGCGGUAAGACGAACCGUACGAACGUUAUUCGGAAUUACUGGGGUUAGUAGGUUUGUAGGCGGCCUUGUUGGGAAAUCCCUCGGCUCAACCGAGGAAUAGCGCUUGAUACUGCGAGGCUUGAGGGAGACAGGGGUAAGCGGAACUGAUGGUGGAGCGGUGAAAUGCGUUGAUAUCAGCAGGAACACCGGUGGCGAAAGCGGCUUACUGGGUCUCUUCUGACGCUGAGGAACGAAAGCUAGGGGAGCGAACGGGAUUAGAUACCCGGGUAGUC